rnacentral:lncRNA from 1 species
GAACAUCCACGUAGCCCCCGUUUGGCCCCCAUUAUUUCUCAUUAAAUUAAAUUAAAUUUUUCUCUCUCCUAUUUUCAACCACACAAUCUUCAAUAAAAUAAUAUUACACGUAAAUCAAAAACUUUUCUUUUAUUUUCAACCACUCAUUUUUCUAAAAAACACUAUUCAAAACAUUAUAAUUUCUAAAUAAUGGGGCUCAAACAGGGGCAUACAUAAUGGACAACAAAAAAAUUAAUCGUUCAAAAUACCUUUAAAGUUUCAUCUUUUGCCCAGCUUCUUUCAAGAAAAAGAUACUCUGAAAACCACAUGGACCAUCCUAUGACCUGCAUAUAUUGGUUGCAACAGCAUGCAUGUUUAUGCAUAUCUUAUUCAAUACCUCAAAUAAAAGGGUAGGGAGUGAACAAAUUAAGGGAUGCGAUAAAUGAACAAGAAUACAACAGGAAUUUUAAGUCUAGUACUGCUAUCUAUGAAUACUUUUUAGACUUUUUCAGCAACAGCAGAAAUAUAAAACUUAGAAAGAUCUCACAAUAUGAAACUUAGUAAUAUCUCACUACAUGAUUUCGAAUACCUUCGAAAGGUUAGUCACCCUGACAGAGCGACCUUCACAGUGAUAUUAAAUACUUAUAAACUUCAGAUUUGAUAAAAACCAAUAAAAAACUUAAAGUUAUUUCAUUACAAGAACCACUGGAGUUUGGUCAAUAACAUUUCUUGACCAUCAAAAUAAAGUCAAAUUAGUAAUGAUACAAAAAAACAUUAUUUUGAAACCGGUCAUAGUUUUUCUGGAUUUAAAUCAUCAAUCAGUAAAGCACAUUUCUCCAUUGUCAUACACAAUAAUUUAUAUGCUGAUAUGUAAUAACGUUCAAGAAGCUGACAGUUCUACAAAGUAUAGAGAUCAAUAAUAUAUAAAUAGCCAGUUCAUAACAACUUAGAAGGUAGAAGGUGAAUUUAAGAUAAAAACAAAGGCUCAUUUAGCAAAUUUGAACAAGAAUUGACAUAAAAUACUUACUGGAAGGAGCUUUGAUGAUUUUUUCAUAACAGCUAAAGUGCUUCCAAGGCAACCUGAUCGCUGCCAUUAAAAGAAGGAUCAAUCAGAAGAAUUUAACAUAAAAUGAUGAUGCUAAAAACAGAAUUCAAAUCAAGCAUUAGCAAGGAUAUCGCACAAUUCCAAAGCUAGUAAAACAAUUCUUUUCAAAUCUGUCUGUAUGUCAGAGUGUCUACUAGUGUAUCCAUAUGUAUGAGCAAGAAUCUGAAUUAAGAAACAUUCCAUACCCACUUUAUCCCACAAUGAAUGUUCUAAUUUUACUCAGUAUGACCAUUUCUUUCUAAUUCAGUUCCAUGUCUAAGAAAAAAAUAUUGGCUACAUCAAGACCAAUAUCGACCAUGUUUAAUUGCUCACACCAAUGCCUAAGGGUAUAUUUACAUAUUCUAUGCAGAUUAAGGUGCAAUUGGCUAAUUAAUUCUCUUAAUUGAGUUCACCUGGAAUUAAAUGGUAUUUGGGCCUUUAAAAGUAGCUGGUUUUCAAGCCUUACAAAAUUGGUUUAUUGCUUCCGAAAUUGGGAACCCGGUUUUUUAGAAAACCAAUUUAUUUCUUUAAAUAUUGUUUCUCAGGUUUAUCUAAAAGUCUUUAAGCCAGGCCUUCAGAAAUUAGGUUUACAUUUCACUUCGUCGACUGUUUUCUUUAAUCAGCUUCAACCCCUUCCACGCAUGGGACAUGUCCGUUUCCAUAUCCUCUUCUUAUGAAGGAUCUGAGACAGAUCCCACACACGUACUUGUAUCAUAUGUGCUUCAUUUCAAAUGAAGAGUCUGAGCAUCAUAGCAAGCAUUACAUGAUAAAGCAUAGAGUGAACAUUUUUC